rnacentral:rRNA from 1 species
CCUUCGGGGGCCGUGUAGAGUGGCGCACGGGUGAGUAACAGCUAGGUAAUUUGCCUUCGGGUGGGGAAUAACAGCCGGAAACGGCUGCUAAUACCGCAUAAUGCAGCGGCUCGACAUCGAGACAGUUGUUAAAGCGGGGGAUCGCAAGACCUCGCGCCUGAAGAGAAGCCUGCGGCAGAUUAGCUAGUUGGUAGGGUAAUGGCCUACCAAGGCGACGAUCUGUAACCGGCCUGAGAGGGCGGUCGGUCACACUGACACUGACAUACGGGUCAGACUCCUACGGGAGGCAGCAGUCGGGAAUUUUGGGCAAUGGGCGAAAGCCUGACCCAGCAACGCCGCGUGAAGGAUGAAAUCCCUCGGGAUGUAAACUUCGCAAGAAUGGGAAGAAUAAGUAGAAGAUAAUACCUUCUAUGAUGACGGUACCAUUUGUAAGCUCCGGCUAACUCCGUGCCAGCAGCCGCGGNAAUACGGGGGGAGCAAGCGUUGUUCGGAUUUACUGGGCGUAAAGGGCGCGUAGGCGGCCACGACAAGUCACUUGUGAAAUCUCCGGGCUUAACUCGGAAAGGUCAAGUGAUACUGUCGGGCUAGAGUGCAGAAGGGGCAACUGGAAUUCUCGGUGUAGCGGUGAAAUGCGUAGAUAUCGAGAGGAACACCUGCGGCGAAGGCGGGUUGCUGGGCUGACACUGACGCUGAGGCGCGAAGCCAGGGGAGCGAACGGGAUUAGAUACUCCGGUAGUCCUGGCCUUAAACGAUGAAUGCUUGGUGUCUCGGGUUACAUAGUCUCGGGGUGCGUCGCUAACGCUUUUAGCAUUCCGCCUGGGGAGUACGGUCGCAAGACUG